rnacentral:rRNA from 1 species
UUGGAGGGCAAGUCUGGUGCCAGCAGCCGCGGUAAUUCCAGCUCCAAUAGCGUAUAUUAACGUUGUUGCAGUUAAAAAGCUCGUAGUUGAAAUGAAGGGUAGUUGUGUAAUGAAUACAUUCGUGUAUUUUGUUAUUCUACUACCCUCCUUCUAAAUUCGAUAUAUGAGUAUUAAUUUACUUGUAUAUGGUUUUAGACUUUUACUGUGAGAAAAUUAGAGUGUUCAAAGCAGGCAUUUGCUUGAAUAUAUUAGCAUGGAAUAAUCAUGUAUGAUUUUCAUGAUGUAUUUGAUUGGUUUGGUUCAUGAGAAUAAGAUUAAAAGGGACAGUUGGGGGUAUUCAUAUUCAAUAGUCAGAGGUGAAAUUCUCGGAUUUAUGGAAGAUGAACAAGUGCGAAAGCAA